rnacentral:tRNA from 1 species
GGAGAGGUGGCAGAGUCUGGCUGAAUGCGCUGCACUCGAAAUGCAGUAUGGUCGUAGACCAUCGGGGGUUCGAAUCCCUCCCUCUCCGCAA